CACGUAGGGCGCAAGCGUUGUCCGGAAUUAUUGGGCGUAAAGAGCUCGUAGGCGGUCCGUCACGUCCGCUGUGAAAACCCAGGGCUCAACCCUGGGCUUGCAGUGGAUACGGGCAGACUAGAGGUAGGUAGGGGAGAAUGGAAUUCCCGGUGUAGCGGUGAAAUGCGUAGAUAUCAGGAGGAACACCGGUGGUGUAGACGGCUUCUGGACCGUAACUGACGCUGAGACACGAAAGCGUGGGUAGCAAACAGG
rnacentral:rRNA from 1 species